rnacentral:rRNA from 1 species
AGGGGGAUAAGGCGAUGGGAACGUCGUCUAAUACCGGCAUAACAAACUUAAAGAGGGCAUCUCCUUGAGUUUGAAAGUUUCGAUGGAUACGGGAUUGGCUCGCGAGACAUUAGCCAGUUGGCGGGGUAACGGCCCACCAAAGCGACGAUGUCUAGGGGUUCUGAGAGGAAGGUCCCCCACACUGGAACUGAGACACGGUCCAGACUCCUACGGGAGGCAGCAGUGAGGAAUAUUGGACAAUGGUCGGAGGACUGAUCCAGCCAUGCCGCGUGAAGGUAGAAGGUCCUAUGGAUUGUAAACUUCUUUUGUACGAGAGCAAUAAGUGUCACGUGUGACACGAUGAGAGUAUCGUACGAAUAAGCAUCGGCUAACUCCGUGCCAGCAGCCGCGGUAAUACGGAGGACGCAAGCGUUAUCCGGAUUUAUUGGGUUUAAAGGGUGCGUAGGCGGGCUGGUAAGUCAGCGGUGAAACGCAGGUGCUCAACACCUGACCUGCCGUUGAAACUGCCGGUCUUGAAUGCGGAUGCUGUGGGAGGAAUGUGUGGUGUAGCGGUGAAAUGCAUAGAUAUCACACAGAACACCGAUUGCGAAGGCAUCUCACAAAUCCGUGAUUGACGCUGAGGCACGAAAGUGCGGGGAUCGAACAGGAUUAGAUACCCUGGUAGUCCGCACAGUAA